AGUGAACGCUGGUGGCGUGCUUAAGACAUGCAAGUCGAACGGCAGUCUUCGGACUGUAGUGGCGCACGGGUGAGUAACGCGUAACUGAGCUACCCCAAAGUCGCGGAUAACGAGUCGAAAGAAUCGCUAAUACGUGUUGUGCCGUCAGAGUGUGAUCUGUCAGUACAGAUUGAUUGAUUUGGGAUGGGGUUGCGUUCCAUCAGCUAGUUGUUGGGGUAAAGGCCCACUAAGGCGACGACGGAUAGUCGAGCUGAGAGUGUGGCAGGGCACAGGGGCACGGAGACACGGGGCCCACUCCAACGGGGGGCAGCAGUUAGGAGUCUUCCACAAGGGGCGGAAGCCUGAUGUAGCGACUCCGCGUGAGGGAUUAAGGUCUUCCUAUCGUGAACCUCUGAAUCAGGUACGAAAGACACUUCGGUGGGAUGACGGUACCUGAGAAAUAGCACCGGCUAACUCCGUGCCAGCCGCCGCAGUAACAC
rnacentral:rRNA from 1 species